UACAGAGGGUGCGAGCGUUGUCCGGAAUCACUGGGCGUAAAGGGCGCGUAGGCGGCCUGAUAAGUCGGGGGUGAAAUCCUGUGGCUUAACCACAGGGCUGCCUCCGAGACUGUCGGGCUCGAGCAAAGUAGAGGCAGGUGGAAUUCCCGGUGUAGCGGUGGAAUGCGUAGAGAUCGGGAAGAACAUCGGUGGCGAAGGCGGCCUGCUGGGCUGUUGCUGACGCUGAGGCGCGACAGCGUGGGGAGCAAACAGG
rnacentral:rRNA from 1 species